rnacentral:lncRNA from 1 species
UCUAUUUCAUGAGUUAUGAAUCCCCCCAAUCCUAAAACUACUAAGUUGUUUAAAUAGAGCAAGGGAAUUUGGGCCUAAUAGCAACCGACCCGAAAAAAUACAAAAUCGGCCCCAAAACUAAGUAUUUUCUUAAGUCUGGAAAUAAAACGAAUUAUUCGACUCUUCUUAUUUCUGAAUCAGCUUCUGACUUCAACAUGAAACUUUUAUCUUAUCCUCUCAGCUUUCCA